UAGACACUUCAAGCAACACUUGAUGUAUUCUAAGCACCCUGUGCAUCAGAGUGCUCUCAAAUUAGAAGGAGAAACUGCAUAGGAGAGAGUGCAAAGUGAGAGACCUCAGGGCAGAUUGUGAACAACAGAGGACUCACAAGAGAUGAAGCAAGACAAGAGAGAGUGCAGUGUAGAAGCAAGUAUUGAUUGACAUUUCCAACUGGGUGAAGUUAAACAGAAUCGUAUCAACUGACAAAUG